GAUGAACGCUGGCGGCGUGCCUAAUACAUGCAAGUCGAGCGAACAGACGAGGAGCUUGCUCCUCUGACGUUAGCGGCGGACGUGUGAGUAACACGUGGAUCACCUACCUAUAAGACUGGGAUAACUUCGGGAAACCGGAGCUAAUACCGGAUAAUAUAUUGAACCGCAUGGUUCAAUAGUGAAAGACGGUUUUGCUGUCACUUAUAGAUGGAUCCGCGCCGCAUUAGCUAGUUGGUAAGGUAACGGCUUACCAAGGCGACGAUGCGUAGCCGACCUGAGAGGGUGAUCGGGCACACUGGAACUGAGACACGGUCCAGACUCCUACGGGAGGCAGCAGUAGGGAAUCUUCCGCAAUGGGCGAAAGCCUGACGGAGCAACGCCGCGUGAGUGAUGAAGGUCUUCGGAUCGUAAAACUCUGUUAUUAGGGAAGAACAAAUGUGUAAGUAACUAUGCACGUCUUGACGGUACCUAAUCAGAAAGCCACGGCUAACUACGUG
rnacentral:rRNA from 1 species